rnacentral:rRNA from 1 species
UAGCGAAGGGGGCUAGCGUUGCUCGGAAUCACUGGGCGUAAAGCGCACGUAGGCGGCUUACUAAGUCAGGGGUGAAAUCCUGGAGCUCAACUCCAGUAACUGCCUUUGAUACUGGUGAGCUUGAGUCCGGAAGAGGUGAGUGGAACUGCGAGUGUAGAAGGUGAAAUUCGUAGAUAUUCGCAAGAACACCAGUGGCGAAGGCGGCUCACUGGUCGGUACUGACGCUGAGGUGCGAAAGCGUGGGGAGCAAACAGG